rnacentral:misc_RNA from 1 species
GCUUAUGGCCAAUUGCUAUUUCAUGUAAGUUUUCUUUUUUCUUUAUGAUUGAUUAAUUUCCUUGAUAGAGAAGAAGUAUCAGCUCGUAGAUGUGCAAUAUAUAUGUAGUUCAAGAAUUUGUUAUGUGGGAUGUCAUUAUGAUAGUACAUUCACACUCACCUUGAGGUGUUGGAUCUCAGAAUGAAAAAUCUGAGCUUUAAGUUUAUUUUGUGGGAUAUUGGUGGAAUGAUUAGACAAAAGAAAUGAUGGUAUGCUCAAGUAUAAUGCCUAUUUAUUUAUUUAUUUAAAAAAAUGGCUUUUAUUAUGAAAAGUAUCGAAUGUGUUUGUUCUUAGUAUGAGUGCACAUAUUUUUAUCUCCUUUAUGUUCAUCCCAAAGCGAUGAUUAAUUCAUUUUCUCCAUUUUCUGCAGCAGGUUGAU